rnacentral:rRNA from 1 species
UACGGGAGGCAGCAGUGGGGAAUCUUGCGCAAUGCGCGAAAGCGUGACGCAGCAACACCGCGUGAGGGAAGACGGCCUUAGGGUUGUAAACCUCUUUCAGAUGGGACGAAGGUUGUCCGGUGAAUAGCCGAGAUGAUUGACGGUACCGUCAGAAGAAGCUCCGGCUAACUACGUGCCAGCAGCCGCGGUAAUACGUAGGGAGCGAGCGUUGUCCGGAAUCAUUGGGCGUAAAGAGCAUGUAGGUGGAUCAAUUAGUCUGCUGUGAAAGUCGAAGGCUCAACCUUCGAAAGCCGGUGGAUACUGUUGAUCUAGAGUACGGAAGAGGCGAGUGGAAUUCCUGGUGUAGCGGUGGAAUGCGCAGAUAUCAGGAGGAACACCAAUAGCGAAGGCAGCUCGCUGGGACGUUACUGACACUGAGAUGCGAAAGCGUGGGGAGCAAACAGGAUUAGAUACCCUGGUAGUCCACGCCGUAAACGAUGGGUACUAGAUGUGGGAGGUGUCGACUCCUCCCGUAUCGUAGCUAACGCACAUAAGUACCCCGCCUGGGGAGUA